GUCUUCAUCCAAAAUAGAUAUGACUAGAGAAUGCCUGUUCGGCUAAUUUAGAGUUAUCUCAAAAUAAACUGAACCAGGCACAUAUAUGUCUUAGCUUGCUAAAAGAUAAAAUUCAUUAGCAAGUUUAUCUAUCAUCUCAGUAUUUACAUGUGCAUAAUGUAGUUCAAGCAUUUCUCUGAUGAAGCACAGAUGAUGAGAGGCUAUACUGAAACAAAAUUUACUGUCCCAACUCUAAACUGGGUGGAGAAGUGUCAUUCCCAGCUAAAAGCAUGGUUCCUCUAACAUAGCAUGCGGAGAGCUGGUGUAUCAAGGAAGAGUCAUAGAGGCUGUCAGCUGUGGAUGGUCUUUCUCAUUUUACCCUCCCAACAUAUUAAAAAUAAAAAUAAUAAUAAUAAAAUAAAAAAUAAUUUAAAAGAGCAAUUUCUGAGCUUCCAAGAGUAUAUCUCAUAUGUUAAACUGUUAAUCUCAGCCACAGCCUGAACCUCAGAUUGACCACCUGAGGCAAGUGAUGAGUCAGCUGUGGCAGCACAGGUGAAGGUAAUUCAGCUGUGCCACCAGAAGCCAAGCUCCACCUCUUCCAGAUCUCAUUUAAGGGCUGACUGCACACUAAGGCUGGUUUUCUUUUUCUCUGAGGAUUGCUUCUUUGUGGAGUUUUCUGCAAACCUUCAACAGCGGCAGCCCUGGAGGAUGGUGAAUGAUAGAUACCUCGGAACCAUCAAAAUACUCCACAUUGUUACUGACAGCUCUGACAAACAGACUGCUAUCAGCUGAGUCCCAAAGGAUAGGUUAGCAGACCAACUGAUCCUCUACUGUGAACUUAUUUAUCAUCAUCAUUGUUUUCAAGAUCACGAAAUGGACAGUUCCCAAGGGUAUGUGCUCUGCUUCUGUGAGACUGAAGUUCCAGCAGUAAUGCAGUUCUAGUUGCCCUUUUAUACAAAAUUAAACAAAUUCCUUGCAAACACUCAGACCAGUCCAAUGGAGUUUUCUUGUGUUUUUGUUGUUCCCCAGAUUUAUCUUAGUCACUUUUGCACAACCUCUUGAUUUGAGAACAGUUGAAUUUCAUGAGUCUUCUUUUCAAAUUGUGGCUGCUAAUAAAUACUUAUUCGAUUGC